UGCGAAAGUACAUGUAGGGACCGAAAUAUCAUUCGCACUAGUAUUAUACAUGCCAGAAAACAGCAAAUUUUAAACAGAGGGUGUUGCUGAAGACCUCAAACCAGGCCACGUCACAUAGCAGUUUUAAGCGUUUGUUAAGCCGCACGAGCUUUACGUGAGAUGUCGCUCACAAGUCAAGGUUGGACAUUAGUUCGACGGGUGGAUAACAUGACUGACUGAAAAAAAUGCUAAAACGAUUAGAAAAUGAUGCAGAAGAAAAGCCGACGACGGCCCGAUAGUAGCAUGUUUCACGACAGCAGAUGGCGUCACCGGUUUUAACCAGUAUCAAGUAAACGCCAGAUCGAGUUAGGAAAGGACUAACAACACGUACCAGUUCCCACUGAAUGGUGUAUUAGAACGGCGGGGCCUGAUCCAACCGAAGACAGUACGUCGAUCUACGCCUUCAAACUUUGAUUGAUGAAAGGUCUAGUGACGAUUAAAUACUCGCACGUGCCGAGGAGAGCAUGUCAUUUUCUGGAUCAGAAACGACUGAAACAAGGUCUUUACAGACAUCCUUGGGAUGGUAUCUCGUACGUAAUGCCAGAGAAUUUUGGCGGGGAACAAGAUCAGCAGUAGAAUUCACAGCAGGACCAACAGUAGUGCUUGUUGGUAUCUUAGGCUGUUAUUAGCAAUAUACAUGACUUCCAUGAACAUUUCUGUAGGAUAUAGAGUUUUAGGCCUAUAUUUAAUGGUGAAUGUUUUAAGGUGUUGACAAUUUAAAGCAAACCUGACCCGCAAUACUAGAAACAUAAUUUAUUUAGCACCUUGUUGCCAUAAAGUAGAGAAUAGUCCAUUAAUAUUGUGGUAAUACAUGUUUUAUUAAACAACAUACCCUGCAGGUUAUCUGAGAUUUUAGCUUGUAGGAGUGAAAUUUCUAUGCAGCAUUGAUUUUGAUGUGAUUUAGGACUGGCCAUGACUUGCACUGGUGUUCAACUAACAUACCUUGUAUGUUUUGAUUGUUUCAACUUGUAUUUUGUUAAACCAAAUGUUAAAUAAAGAAAUAUUCCACUUAAGUAGGCCACAUUUUACUUCUGUUAGUCAUCACAUGUAGUUGCUCUCGCAUAACCUGCAAGGUAUUUGUCAAUAUGAGGUUUAUCUGAAAUGUUUCUGUGUUUAUUUUGUCAUAGGAAAUCAAUGCUGGUUAAAGGGGAGUUGCUGUAGUUAUAAAUGUUCGUUUAGAUAUCACACAUAUCUUUAUAUAACAGAUGCAAUAGGUUUUUGGUGUUACUGGCAUAAUUUUUUACAUACAUUUUUCAUAAGUCUGAUCAUGUCAGAUUAUAUAAGAUUGGUGCAAUUUUUAAGAGUUAAAAACAAUGGAUUUACAGCCAUCAAUGUUUUGUUUAACCGGAAUGAAAUUCUGAAGGUUCAUAUUCUUUAAACACAAUGGUGUAUUUUAUAUCUAAUGUAAAUUAAUUAUGUCUCUCAACACACAGUGGUGUGGGAGACAUAUUGAUUUACACCAGUCUGUGUGCGUGUGUGUCUGUGUGUCUAUCACAAAGCUUGUCCGCACUUUAAGUCGAACAUUUCUCAUCCAAUUUUCACCAAACUUGAACAAAAUGUGUUUGACCAUAAGACCUCAGCCAGGUUUGAUAACUAGCCAAAUCGGUCCAGGUGUCUUGGAGUUAUGGCCCUUGAAUUACCAAAAAUCGGUCUUUUUACUCUUGUCCGCACUCUAAUUCGAAUAUUUCUCAUCCAAUCUUCACCAAACUUAAAUAAAAUGUGCUUGACCAUGAGACCUCGGCCAAGUUCGAUAACUAGCCAAAUCGGUCCAUGCAUUUUGGAGCUACAGCCCUUGAAUUAUCGAAAAAUUGUCCUUUUUACUCAUGUCCGCACUCUUAAUCAAACAUUUCUCAUCCGAUCUUCACCAAACUUGAACAAAAUGUGUUUGACCAUGAGACCUCGGCCAAGUUCGGUAACUAGCCAAAUCGGUCCAGGCAUUUUAGAGUUACGGCCCUUAAAUUACCGAAAAAAUCCAUCUGUUUACUCUUGUCCGCUCUCUAAGUCGAACAUUUCUCAUCCGAUCUUCACCAAACUUGAACAAAAUGUGUUUGGCCAUAAGACCUUACCC